rnacentral:lncRNA from 1 species
CUGAACAUUGAAUCUAAUAUUUUACCGCUUUGAAUUCCAAAACGAACAUGACCAUAUGAACGAGCAAAUCGACUUAACUUGACAUCGAACGAAAACCCCCGCAGAAUCAAUCCGAACUUGACCCUAUUUGAGAUUCAACCAAAAUGAAGGGGCGGAGAUGAGUUAUAUAAUAAAUUUGAAGAAUGAGUUUAUUUUUCAAAAAAUGGUGAUCUACUCCCAUGUGAAGAGGGGAAGCAUUGAAAAUUUUUUAAGAAUGAAGGAGGCACCGGAAUUCUUUUUUUAGGAUUAGAUUCUCUGCUCUUUUUCUUUC